GGUAGAGGGUAUAGAUGGUACAGGUAGAGGGUAUAGAUGGUACAGGUAGAGGGUAGAAGGUAUAGAUGGUAUAGGUCAAGGGUAUAGAUGGUAUAGUUAGAGGGUAUAGAUGGUACAAGUAGAUGACAGAGGGCAUAGCUGGUAUAGGUAUAGGGUAGAGGUGAGAGGGUAUAGAUGGUACAGGUUGAGGGUAUAGACGGUACAGGUAGAGGGGAGAGGGUAUAGAUGAUAUAGGUAGAGGGUAGAGGGUGUAGAGGGUAGAGGGUAUAGAUGGUACAGGUAUAGGACAGAGGGUAUAGAUAGUACAGGUAGAGGGUAGAGGGUAUUGAGGGUGCAGGUAGAUGACAAAGGGUAUAGCUGGCAUAGGUAUAGGGUAGAGGGGAGAGGGUAUAGAUGGUACAGGUAUAGGACAGAGGGUAUAGAUGGUACAGAUAGAGGACAGAGGGUAUAGAUAGUACAGGUAGAGGGUAAAGGGUAUUGAGGGUGCAGGUAGAUGACAAAGGGUAUAGCUGGCAUAGGUAUAGGGUAGAGGGGAGAUGGUAUAGAUGGUACAAGUAGAGGAUAGAGGGUAUAGAUGGUGCAGGUAGCAAACAGAGGUUAUAAAUGGUAUAGGUAGAGGACAGAGGCUAUAGAUGGUAUAGGUAGAAGACAGAGGGUAUAGAUGGUACAGGUAGAGGGUAUAGAUGGUACAGGUAGA